rnacentral:tRNA from 1 species
GGGUUUCGGUGACCUAAAACCAAUUCUCUUUUAACCAACUGGUCGUAGGUUCGAAUCCCACACGACCCACCA